GAUGAACGCUAGCUACAGGCUUAACACAUGCAAGUCGAGGGACCGGCGCACGGGUGAGUAACACGUAUCCAACCUGCCCUUUACUCGGGGAUAGCCUUUCGAAAGAAAGAUUAAUAACCGAUUUAAAGGAUGGGGAUGCGUUCCAUUAGGUUGUUGGUGAGGUAACGGCUCACCAAGCCUUCGAUGGAUAGGGGUCCUGAGAGGAAUGUCCCCCACAUUGGAACUGAGACACGGUCCAAACUCCUACGGGAGGCAGCAGUGAGGAAUAUUGGUCAAUGGGCGCUAGCCUGAAACAGCCAAGUAGCGUGAAGGAUGAAGGCUUAUGGGUCGUAAACUUCUUUUAUAUAAGAAUAUGUAUUAUAUGAAUAAGGAUCGGCUAACUCCGUGCCAGCAGCCGCGGUAAGUC
rnacentral:rRNA from 1 species